AUUGAACGCUGGCGGAAUGCUUUACACAUGCAAGUCGAACGGCAGCACGGACUUCGGUCUGGUGGCGAGUGGCGAACGGGUGAGUAAUGUAUCGGAACGUGCCAGUCGUGGGGGAUAACGUAGUGAAAAUUACGCUAAUACCGCAUACGAUCUAUGGAUGAAAGCGGGGGAUCGCAAGACCUCGCGCGAUUGGAGCGGCCGAUAUCAGAUUAGGUAGUUGGUGGGGUAAAGGCCCACCAAGCCAACGAUCUGUAGCUGGUCUGAGAGGACGAGCAGCCACACUGGAACUGAGACACGGUCCAGACUCCUACGGGAGGCAGCAGUGGGAAAUUUUGGACAAUGGGCGAAAGCCUGAUCCAGCCAUUCCGCGUGCAGGAUGAAGGCCCUCGGGUUGUAAACUGCUUUUGUACAGAACGAAAAGGUUUCUACUAAUACUAGGAGCUCAUGACGGUACUGUAAGAAUAAGCACCGGCUAACUACGUGCCAGCCGCCGCCGUAA
rnacentral:rRNA from 1 species